GGCUAUAGCUCAGUGGUAGAGUGCUUGCCUAGCACAUGUGAGACACUGAGUUCAAUUCUCAGCACCA
rnacentral:tRNA from 1 species